GGGCCCGCACAAGCGGUGGAGCAUGUGGUUUAAUUCGACGCAACGCGCAGAACCUUACCAGGGUUUGACAUCCUGUGCUCGCCGGUGAAAGCCGGUUUCCCCGCAAGGGGCGCAGAGACAGGUGCUGCAUGGCUGUCGUCAGCUCGUGUCGUGAGAUGUUGGGUUAAGUCCCGCAACGAGCGCAACCCUCGCCUUUAGUUGCCAUCAUUCAGUUGGGCACUCUAGAGGGACCGCCGGCGACAAGCCGGAGGAAGGUGGGGAUGACGUCAAGUCCUCAUGGCCCUUACACCCUGGGCUACACACGUGCUACAAUGGCGGUGACAGUGGGCAGCGAGCUCGCGAGAGUCAGCUAAUCCCAAAAAACCGUCCCAGUUCAGAUUGCACUCUGCAACUCGAGUGCAUGAAGGUGGAAUCGCUAGUAAUCGCAGAACAGCAGGCUGCGGUGAAUACGUUCCCGGGCCUU
rnacentral:rRNA from 1 species